rnacentral:rRNA from 1 species
GGGAACCUCACCCGGCCCGGACACCGCGAGGAUUGACAGACUGAGAGCUCUUUCUCGAUUCGGUGGGUGGUGGUGCAUGGCCGUUCUUAGUUGGUGGAGCGAUCUGUCUGGUUAAUUCCGAUAACGAACGAGACCCCAACCUGCUAACUAGCCCUCGGGUCCUGCUUCUGUUGGGCCCGACGGAAUGAUUCGCUUCUUAGAGGGACUCGCGGCGCCUAGCCGCACGAGGGGGGCGAUAA